AACGAACGCUGGCGGCAUGCCUAACACAUGCAAGUCGAACGAGACCUUCGGGUCUAGUGGCGCACGGGUGCGUAACGCGUGGGAAUCUGCCCUCUGGUUCGGAAUAACUCAGGGAAACUUGAGCUAAUACCGGAUAAUGACUUCGGUCCAAAGAUUUAUCGCCUGAGGAUGAGCCCGCGUCGGAUUAGCUUGUUGGUGAGGUAAAAGCUCACCAAGGCGACGAUCCGUAGCUGGUCUGAGAGGAUGAUCAGCCACACUGGGACUGAGACACGGCCCAGACUCCUACGGGGGGCAGCAGUGGGGAAUAUUGGACAAUGGGCGAAAGCCUGAUCCAGCAAUGCCGCGUGAGUGAUGAAGGCCUUAGGGUUGUAAAGCUCUUUUACCCGGGAUGAUAAUGACAGUACCGGGAGAAUAAGCCCCGGCUAACUCCGUGCCAGCCGCCGCCGUAAAAC
rnacentral:rRNA from 1 species